rnacentral:ncRNA from 1 species
UCGAUAGAGGCGCGGGACGCAUCAGUAGCGCCGCGGAGCCCCUCCAAGGGCUUUGAAGCGGCGGGAAAGGGCAUUUCGCCGAAAUCCGGGGCGGUUGGAGCCGAACCGGGUUGGGGAAUCGCGAAACACGCGGUUCACUGUCACAACCCCCGUUGUGGAGCGCUAUCU